CCUAACCUUCGGGAGCGAGCAAAGCGGAUAUGUCCCUGAGCCGAUGCUUACAUCCCCGGGAGCUGGCACCUGUCUCUAUUGAGCACGUCCGCAUCAGCGGAAAGCCUACGGAGUCAUUCCGGCGCCCACCUGAACCGUUGGGUUCAUGGCGACGACCGCGUUGCUGCACCGGAGGUCUCCU
rnacentral:other from 1 species